UACGUAGGGACCAAGCGUUGUUCGGAUUUACUGGGCGUAAAGGGCGCGUAGGCGGCAAUUCAAGUCAUCUGUGAAAUCUCCGGGCUUAACUCGGAACGGUCAGAUGAUACUGCUUUGCUAGAGUACAGAAGGGGCAAUCGGAAUUCUUGGUGUAGCGGUGAAAUGCGUAGAUAUCAAGAGGAACACCUGAGGUGAAGACGGGUUGCUGGGCUGAUACUGACGCUGAGGCGCGAAAGCUAGGGUAGCAAACAGG
rnacentral:rRNA from 1 species